CAAUUUGCGUCAUUUUGUGUCAUAAAAAUUUGAGUAAUCAAAUUUGGACAGCUUUAGUUUUGGUGGAGCGAGCUAGCCAGUAAUUAGACAUGAUUCAACUAAUCAAGAGCUAUGCAUCUUGGAAUAAAAACGCUGCCCCACCGUUACCAUGGAAACACCAAUGAGCGUAAACCACACAGGCCAAAGUUAACAUUGAGCGCCCCACGAAAUCUGCCUGGCAACUAGACUGGAAUAAUGCGAAAACCGCGAGACCUGUACCCCGUGACUAAGAAAAAAAAAACAUACAGUCAGAUCAAAAUCAGACAGAUCAAUGCCAGGAACGUUACUGCUAGUUAGCUAUCGCUAGUUUUCAAGUAUUUUGGAAGUGUUUUAAUUCAGCCUACAAUGAAUAAUGUAGACUAGUUGUUGAGGGUGCAAUUUAGUACAUUGUCGUUGAAAGAUAAAUUAGAAAUUAAACGUUUGGCGCUACACAAAAGGAUUAAGACAUUCACAAGAAACACUGAGUAGGUCCGACUGAUAAUAGGUACCAUUGGAAUGGGUUAGGUCCACUGAUAACAGGUGACUGGAAUGGGGUAGGUCCGACUGGAGAUGCCCACCACAUGACAGGUACCUUUGGAAUGGGGUAGGUCCGACUGAUAAUAGGUACCUUUGGAAUGGGGUAGGUCCGACUGAUAACAGGUACCUUUGGAAUGGGUUAGGUCCGACUGAUAACAGGUGACUGGAAUGGGGUAGGUCCGACUGAUAAUAGGUACCUUUGGAAUGGAGUAGGUCCGACUGAUAAUAGGUACCUUUGGAGUGGGGUAGGUCCGACUGGAGAUGCCCACCAGAUAACAGGUGCCUUUGGAAUGGGGUAGGUCCGACUGAUAACAGGUGACUUUGGAAUGGGGUAGGUCCGACUGAUAAUAGGUACCGUUGGAAUGGGGUAGGUCCGACUGAUAAUAGGUGACUUUGGAAUGGAGUAGGUCCGACUGAUAAUAGGUGACUUUGGAAUGGGGUAGGUCCGACUGAUAACGGGUGCCUUUGGAAUGUGGUAGGUCCGACUGAUAACGGGUACCUUUGGAAUGGGGUAGGUCCGACUGAUAACGGGUGACUUUGGAAUGGGGUAGGUCCGACUGAUAAUAGGUACCUUUGGAAUGGGGUAGGUCCGACUGAUAACAGGUACCUUUGGAAUGGUGGAAUGGGGUAGGUCCGACUGAUAAUAGGUACCUUUGGAAUGGGGUAGGUCCUUGGGCCAAAUCCAUUCUGUUGUCUGUGUCCUUCUGGGACACUUUAGAGCUACUGAGUUGUCUGGAUGGAUGGAUGGAUGAUAAAAUAAAGUUUUGACAAGGCUUGACACACGGAGCAGCCCGGUGUAAUUAAAUGUCAAAGGAUCUUUUUUUGUUCCUCUCUUUUCUUUUUCUCACUUUAUUCUCAAACACUGGACCGAAGAACGAUGUUUUGAAGAGGCGGCUUGCGUGAAGGUCAAGAGAAGGUCAAGAGAGCAACGAUCAGAGUCUGAAAACUCGCGUUCAUAUCGGAGCUGAGAACAGAAUGUCUUGCAGUCAGCUGCCAUUAAAAGUGAGAGAUUGGUAAAAAAAAGAUUGCGAACGGAGCAGGAAUGUGAACUAUGUGAUGUCUUCCAAAAUAAAAAUGUUAACAUUUCUGUAAGCUGUUGCUGCAUUCUCCUUUGAUGCACCCCUGACUGUUCAGCAGCCUGUGUCGGAGGUACUAUGCCAUGUGAUUAUGAAGUAAUGAUAAUGAUGUUCAUGUGAUUAUGAAGUAUUCAAAUUGGUUACUUUGCCAUAUUAUGCCCUGGUGCUGUCUGAACGACUGUAUCACUCUCCCAUCUGAUCUGGAGUACUUCUUCUGGUGCUGUCUGAACGACUGUAUCACUCUCCCAUCUGAUCUGGAGUACUUCUUCUGGUGCUGUCUGAACGACUGUAUCACUCUCACAUCUGAUGAGUGCUUCUUCUGUAAACACACUUAUCCUUCACAGAUGGAGUGGUCAUGUAUCGCUGAAAAAGAAAACAAAUGAUUCUCCUUCAACAAA
ensembl:lncRNA